rnacentral:tRNA from 1 species
GGAGGCAUGGGGAGGGGCUAAACCCACCGGCUUUAGGCGCCGGGCCUGAAGAGGCUGCGCCGGUCCGAAUCCGGCUGCCUCCA